GACGAACGCUGGCGGCGUGCUUAACACAUGCAAGUCGAGCGGUAAGGCCCUUUCGGGGGUACACGAGCGGCGAACGGGUGAGUAACACGUGGGUGACCUGCCCUUAGCUCUGGGAUAAGCCUGGGAAACUGGGUCUAAUACCGGAUAUGACUCCAUAACGCAUGUUGUGGGGUGGAAAGCCUUGUGCGGCUAGGGAUGGGCCCGCGGCCUAUCAGCUUGUUGGUGGGGUGAUGGCCACCAAGGCGACGACGGGUAGCCGGCCUGAGAGGGCGACCGGCCACACUGGGACUGAGACACGGCCCAGACUCCUACGGGAGGCAGCAGGUGGGGAAUCUUGCGCAAUGGGCGAAAGCCUGACGCAGCGACGCCGCGUGGGGA
rnacentral:rRNA from 1 species